rnacentral:rRNA from 1 species
AGCAAUCGAAGCAGUGAACUUAAGCCCCAGUAAACGGCGGCCGUAACUAUAACGGUCCUAAGGUAGCGAAAUGCCUUGUCGGGUAAGUUCCGACCCGCACGAAAGGCGUAACGAUUUGGGCACUGUCCCAACAACAGACUCGGUGAAAUUGUAAUUCCGGUGAAGAUGCCGGAUACCUGCGACAGGACGGAAAGACCCCA